GACUCUGUUCAACGGCCGCGGUAUCCUAACCGUGCGAAGGUAGCGUAAUCACUUGUUCUUUAAAUGUGGACUAGUAUGAAUGGCAUCACGAAGGUUAUACUGUCUCCUUUUUCUAAUCAGUGAAACUAAUCUCCCCGUGAAGAAGCGAGGAUAAAACUAUAAGACGAGAAGACCCUAUGGAGCUUUAAACAUUUAUAACACUUGCUAAAUAAAAUACAAAUUUCAGAAUUAUUUAAUCUUUAAGCAACUUGUCUAUAAGUUUUUGGUUGGGGUGACCGCGGAGCAUAAUACAACCUCCAUGUUGAAAGAUCUAUUUCUAAGCUAAGAGCUACACCUCUAAGCAUCAACAUAUUGACAUCCAUUGACCCAAUAUAUUUGAACAACGAACCAAGUUACCCUAGGGAUAACAGCGCAAUCCACUUCAAGAGCUCCUAUCGACAAGUGGGUUUACGACCUCGAUGUUGGAUCAGGGUUUCCCAGUGGUGCAGCCGCUACUAAAGGUUCGUUUGUUCAACGAUUAAAACCCUACGUG
rnacentral:rRNA from 2 species